AUAGUGCUUAGUUGGUAUGUAUCGAUGUACGAGUCAGUAACCUGCCAGCCACAACAGCAAAUAUGACCAAGACGGGCGACUGCGACGAAUACCGAUGCUCUGCUUGCAAAAAAGCAAUUAAAAGCCAGGUAGUACAAUGCAAGAGUGGUCCGAAACUUUUUUACCACCCAGGGUAUGUGAAUGAGCAUAAGAUACUGGAUAGGAAUCAUGAGCUAGUACAGUGCAAGGGUCCAUUCGAUACGUUUAAUGCAGAAGAUGAACGUCCGAAGGCAGUAACGCAGUUAGCAGGUGAUAGCAGAGAUCGUUUAGCAUCGACUGGACCGACGGGAGGAAUAAGAAGUAACAGUCCAUCGGUAGCGGUUGAGACAAAAAUAGACUGGCUGAUAAAAACAGUGAAAGCAAUGAAGGCCGAAAUCGCUUGCAAGAAUGAAGUUAGGAAUAUGAUCCAAGAGAUAAUUGGUGUGGGAGGGGUGCAGCAACAGAUAUAAUCCAGCCGAGUAAGCAUUGACUCCUAUUCUUUUCGAGAACAGUUUCGCCGAUUUUUUCGUAGGUAGAUUUGACCUCAACCAAUGAGCCCUUGAUUUUUCCGCCAUGUCAAUUUAACAGCUGAUUGUUUAAAAAAAUGUUGAGAAAAAAAAUCGAAUUUUUAUUUUUAAUUUUUUUUCCAUCGGUGUGAGGAAAAAAUGUUUGAUAUAAGAGUAGUAGAUCUUAACCUCGUGUAUAAGAAAAAAAUUUUUUGAUUUAAAAAAUAAUUUUUAGUUUAGCCGCAAAAUGUAAAAAACCGGCCAUUUUUUUUUUUUUAAUUUCAAUCCAGUUUCCUUAAUUAUAAAUUUAAACCUUCAAAACUCACAUGUCGCGUGUGAAAUUAGUGCUUCAAACACCAGUUCCAAAAAUUAUUCGAUUAUCUCGUACAUUAUGGCAACAAAUAGCGAUUUUCGAAAAAACUUUGGGUACCAAUAGAAUCCAACAUAAUGGGGUUACAGCGUCAAAAAAAAUUUCUCGUAGUACUUACAGAUAUGGAGAUUACUAAUGCGAUUGAAAAAAGAAAAUUUUUCUUACUUAACAAAUAGGAUUAUUGCUGAAGUUAUUGACUUACGAAAAACAUUUUUUAAUGUUUCUAUUUCUGUUUUUGAGACCAAAAAUUAAAAAAAAAAAAAACCUCUUCAUCAUUAUUAGAACCGGAGUUACACUUGUUUUACUUAUUUCCGAUUUAUUAUCAAUGUUAAUAAUAUUAAGAUUUGAAAAAAAUACUAUAUCUCGUCCAUACCUCAAGGGUCAACCAUGAAUUUCUUCAUUCUGAUUUGAGCUCUAUUUUUAUCAAAAUUAAUUAGUGAAUCGAGGCAAACGCGAGGCGUCGCAUCCCAGCAGCGCGGCAACGUGAAACGGGGGCGCGGAGACGCGGUAGGAGGUAUACUUAAAUGAAUAUCUCCGGUAAAAAUUAUCGUAGAAUUUUUUUUUUUUGAAACUAAUUAUUUUUUUCUCAGCUAUCGGAAUAUUCAAUUAGUUUUUUAUUUUGAUCAAUAUUUUUUUUUUCUUUUAUAUCGCAAUAUCUCCGGAAAAAUUGUAGAAGGAGUAGGAGAAUAGGAGGCAGUCGAUUACAUGCCUUAUUCGCCUGUACUAAUAGAAGAAAUGAAGAGAAUGAUACAGGAAGAUGGUACGAGUAAACUACAGUGAAGCAGUGAAAGAAAAGAAAAAAUAAAAGGUGAUUAUCAUCAAACCCAAAGUGUAACAGGAGAGCGAAGAAACAAAAAGAGUGAUAAAGGAGACUGUGGAUAUAAAGAGUAUGGCGGUGGGAAUAAGUUACUGAAGAAAGGCAGUAAAGGAACGGUGAUCCUGGGCUGUGAAUCAGGAGAACAAAUUGAAACACUGAAGGCUGCAGUACAGGACAAAAUGGGUGAGGAUUUCAAAGUUACUGAGCCAGUGCAACUGGAACCGAAGAUAAAGAUAGUAAAUGUGGAAGAAGAAGAGUUUAAACUAAACGACGAAGAACUAGUUGACACAAUAAAAAUGAGGAAUGGGAUAGAGGAAACCAAAGGAAGAGAGAUGAAAAUUGUAAAAAGAUUAAUGAAGGGAAGGAAACAGGAGCGUAACAGAAGAGGAACCGGCAAGAGAUCAAUAAUACUAGAAGUAGAUGAAGUAACCGAUGAGAAGCUACCGCAGAAAAGUAAACUCACCGUGGGAUGGAAAACAUGUCCGGUUUACAAUCACAUCAGUGUAAAGCGAUGCUUUAAGUGCUGGGGCUAUUAUCAUUUAGCGAAGAAUGGCACCAGGGAAGAAACUUGCUAUAGAUGUGCAGGAAAACACAACGCAAGAGAGUAUACAACGAAUAAGAGUAAAUGUAUAAACUGUACGUUUCAAAAUUAAAAGUACAAUCGAUCGGGAAUAUCCAACAUACAAAAGAGCGAUGCAAGAGAAAAAGACGAGUGUGGGAUGGAUAGAAUAGCAACCACAGAAGGAAGAGACGAUAUGGUACACAAAUGCGCAAAGCCUCUUAGCACGUAACAAGGAGAUAUGACAUCAGGUGGUUGACAAAAUGAAACCUGCAUUAAUAGAGUUAUCAGAGACGUGGGUGACUGCUGAAAUAGGAGACAGUGAAAUAUAUGUCGGGUUAUAGUGUAAUUAUUUGCGAUGCAGGGAAUAACAAUACAGGAGGGGCCAUGGUAUAUGUAAGAGAUGGUAUUAAACAUGAAUUAAUAAUGAGGUCGAUGACAAGUUAUAUAAAGGAGUUAUAAUAGUGGUGUACCAUUCACCGAGUGCGUCAGAUGCAGAAUUUAUAAGAUACAUAGAAGAUGUAACUGAAGAGUUAACAAUAAAGGGAGAUUGUUUAGUGAUAGAAUGUUAUAAUAUAGGCGUGAAGGGAAACUCGUUCUACAAAAAACAAUUAAUAUCAGAAAUCUUAAGCCUAGGGAUGAAACAGUAUGUCAACGAGCCAACGAGAAUAAUGCAGGAUAACUGAACAGUUAUAAAUCUUGUAUUCGCAAAUACAAGCGUGCAACUACAGGUGGUACACAAACCAAAAAUAACAGACCGUGCAGAGUAGUGAGUAAACAGCGAGAAUACAAGACCAGGAACUAAGGUAAAAUUGACAUGCAAGAGUUUACAACAGUGCUGAAAAAUUCCGUGCAGCAAUGGACAAAUGGAUAUAUUAACUGGAAGGCAAAGCUGUUUAUCAAUAGUGUAGUACGUACUCUGGACAUAGUAGUACCAAUAAAGGUAGUUAAGGUUCCAAGCAUAUGAGAGAAUAAAAAAUGGUACUCAGAUAAGAUAAGAAGGGCGGCGAGAAAAAGAGACAAUGCAUACAGAAAAAGCAAUGCAUGAGGGAACGAAAGGAUGACUGGGAACAGUUUAAAGUAGAAAGAAAUGAAAUAGUUAAAUUAAUAAGGAAAAAGAAAAAUGAAUGUUAAGAGAUCAUGAUAGACUGUAAUAAGAAUGAUCCAAAUAAAAUGUGGAAAACUUUGAAAGAACUUAUUAGCAGGGAACCGGCUAACCCGAGACACAUUGAAGAUAUGAAAUUUGGAAUAUUAGAUGAUAUGAAGGAGGGUAAGAUGGCGGACUAAUUUAACAUGUUUUACGUGGAAAGUAUUAACAACAUAGUUAAUUCAAUAGAUAGGGAUGUAUCUGCAAGUCCAGGUAGAAGAAGAAUCUUGGUGGGUGGUGGUGUGGAAAACGAAAGAAAAAUCGAAAAGUUUGAAAAUAUCGGAAUAGGGGAACUCGAGAAAAUAGUCAAUGGACUCCAGAGGAAGAAAGGUACUGAAGAAGGUAUAUCAAGCGAAAUAUUGAAGCUGGAGUUCAGUGCAAUUGGAAAGGAGUUUGUUGGUGGUGGGCUGUUGUUCUAAUAAUUGGAAAAAAUUCACGAUCAUACCGAUCCCAAAGAUAGAAAAGGCCAAAAAUGCAAAGGAUUUCCGGCUAAUUAAUAUAUUACCAUUGUACGAAAAGGUUCUAGAGCUGGUAGUAAAGAGUUAAGUAGAAAAAUAUUUAGAAUCAAAUAACGUUAUAACAGUGGAUCAGUCGGGUUUUAGGGAACGAUUUUCGUGUGAAACAGUGAUUCAAACUGUCAUAGACGAAUGGAAAUUAAACAUUAGCAAAGGGAAAAUAGUAGAAGUAAUCUUCAUGGUUUAAAACGAGCAUUUGAGAGUGUAGAUAGAGAAUUGUUAAUAGAAAAAAUGUGGCAAUAUGGAGUUAGAGGUAAAGUGUUAGAAUGGUAUAGAUCGUACUUAAACAACAGGGCACAACAAAUUUGGUUUAAUGAGGAAUUUUCCGAGAUUAUCAUAACGAAAUACGGUGUUGCACAAGGAUCCGUAUUAGGGUCUCUGCUGUUCAUUACAUAUAUAAACGAUGUAGUUGACAUAUGUCCCGAAGACAAUGAAAUAGAAAUAAAAAUUGUUGCUGAUGAUACACUAAUGUAUGUUACUGGAGACAGUAGUGCGGAGGUGGAAUGAAAGAUGAAUCGGGCAUUAGGCAUAGUUGAAAGAUGGAUGAAUAGGAACAAACUGAAAAUGAAUGCGGAAAAGACGAACUACUGUAUGAUGGUAAGGAAUGUAAGGAAAGAAUUGAGAGGAAAUAUUGUACUGAAAUGCAUCGACGAAACAGAGUUAGAGCGAGUGGAGGUAAUCAAAUACUAGGUGUUAUGAUAGACGAUAAGCUGCGAUUUAAAGACCAUUGUGAGUAUAUGUUGAAAAAUAUAGGGAAAAAAAUUACUUUGCCGGACUUUGGGUUUUGUGUAACACUGCUAGUGGGUAUGAGUGAAACUGUGUUAAAUAAACUGCAGACAGUGCAGAAUAGAGCAAUGCGAGUAAUACUGCGAUGCAAUCGGUAUACGAAGGUGGACGAUAUAUUGCAAGCGGUUCAGUUUUAUAAUGUGUUUAUAGUCACGUUCAAUGCUGUAAACAAAUUGUUACGAAAAGAAUUGGCAAAUAAAUUCCAAGUUGUAAAAUCGAGAGCGGGUCGGGUAAUACGUCAGGCUAAAAAUAUUGUAAUCCAAUUCAGGAAAACGGAAAGUGCUCAAUAGAGUAUGUUUUGCGAAGGAGUGAAAAUGUAUAACGCACUGCCAGAAGAGUUUACAGGCUGUGUAAAAUUAGUUCAAUACAAGAGUAUGUUAAAAGCAUUCAUUAAAUUAAAAGCUUCAACUGAAGCAAAAUUGGUGUGACAUGCGCAUGGAUAGCUAGUUAUUCAAUAUGACCGACCGAACGCAGGAUCAAACACCAGCAUCGAGGAACCAUUCACUUGAGGAAUUAAUUAAAAAUCACUGGAAAUCACUGGGAUUCAAGAUUUAAUUUAAUAUCGACAAUCACUUUGAAAUUAGUAAUAUACCAAACAUCUCCAAACUUUUAGGAACCACUUGAAGAAUAUUGAAAUUCAAACUAAUUUUUAAUAUUGGACAUCAUGAGGGAAUUAAUUCUGAAUCGUUGAUGAAUUUAAAGCGAGUGGCCCCUUUGACCAUCACCGUAAGAUCUGUUCACAGAUUUCUUUGUAUAACUUUAAAGUGCAUCAAAAGUAGUUUUAUAAUACCGCUUUAGAAAGAUUUGACACUUUGCACAUUCAGAAUUUGAAGUCUAGUCUUUCCACAAAAUUAUAGUGAUACCAAUUUAACAGCAAAGUUUCGUGUGUGUUGAUAUCCAUGUAAUUAAAUGUUGGUCACUCUGAAGUAAAACUUCACAAUACUGAAGGUAAUUUUUUAUUAUUGAUGUUGUGUAACUUUCAACGAUCAAGACUUGAGCAAUUUGACAUUUGUUCACCUUUUUUUUUAUUUUUAGUGCCUGAUUCAGAAACGAGAUUUACUUGGAGUUCUAAUCGAUAAAUUUUAAACAAAAACUCAAUUCGGUGUUGAUAUAGGGAUUAUAUGAUAAAUGUCUGAAUAAUUAUGGAAACUUGGGUAGCUUGAUACUCUGCAAAUAAACGUGAUUGAUCGAAGUUUCAAGUAUAUGAUGCGAUACAUGUAGCACUGAGUGCUCAGUGUAUCGAACAUAGUCAGAUGAGUAAAUUUGAACUAGCAAAGUAUAUCUUGCCAAUUGUAACUGACCUUCCGGGAUACAAGACACAUAAAGCUUCGAACAAGAGAAGCCAGUAAUAUGAAUCCCAGCAGAAAUUUAUAAAUUUCAAGAAAACAACUGUUUGGAUACAAUAUAAACAAUAUAACUGGUCAUAGUGCUAAUUUCAUUUUUUGGACACUGAUUUAACUCGUAUAAUAUAAUGAAAAAAAGUGAGGUCACUGUGUUUCAUAGUCAUAGGUUCAGAACUAAGUAAAAAAUAUACAACAAACUAGUCAUAAUUAUUACACUACUCUAAAUAGGAUUGGUGAAUUGCGAAUUGGAUUUUCAUCAAUGUACGAGUUAUUUUAUUUUUUAUUCAUACUUAAUUAUUAUUUGUAGUUGGAUAAGUUUAUCGCCAGUCUGAUACCACUGACAGCAGUCAUCAUGCUUUUAUUGUAAAUCAACAGACAUGUACUUAGCAGUAGUAUAUAAUUUGAAUCUUUUUUUGUACGAGAUGAUUAUAUGCAUACAUUUUUGAUUAAAGAAGAUAUUUUUGUGUGUAA
rnacentral:lncRNA from 1 species